rnacentral:lncRNA from 10 species
GUGCAUUUCCCACAAUCAGGGUGACUAACCAGGACAUCCGGAGAAGUUUCUUCCUCUCUGCCUCACCCAUCCCACUCGCUCCAUCCUCAAAGCGGACACUCAGAUGCUGGGGCUUCUGCCCCAGUGUGUGACCCCACGGGAGGUUUGCAGAGUCCUCAGGUUGCGUCACAGCCAGCGUUGAUGAGCAUCAUCCUGUCUUCCAAGAAGGCAGGCCAGUCACCCAAGAAUGAGCCAGAGCUGCUUCUGUAAAUCACGAGAUUCUGUGACCCAGAUUAACAUGGAAGGAGAAACCAGCAGCUGCUGCCGCCGUAGGCACAAGUCAGCAACUUCAGUCCUUCUGAGGCUGGCCCUUCCUGGCCAUGGGCUGCCCUUUCCCUUUGGGGUAAUUUGAGGCAAUGAAAACGCCUUGAAUCCUCCUCCACGAUACCCGCCCCACUAUUUGUUGGCACAGCUAUGAUGCUGCUUAUGGAUUGUUUUCACUCCUAAAGACAGUGGCGCAAGGCAAGGUGACCUGGAGCGAGGCCAUCCUGAGUGCCCACCCAGCUUCCCAGGAGCCUGUUGGAAUUUGGAAGGACAUUUGCCUCUGUUUAUAAAGACUGGCUUUUUGCUGAAAGCCAGGGUCUCAAAAAUUUUGUUUUAUUAAUAGAAGCUAAACCCCAAACAUUUGGCUCUUUUUCAUUCCAUUUCCCCUUUCACAAUCUUAACUAUUCCCAAGACAAUGGAUACCUCUGCCUGUAUCAAGGGCAGAUUGUCAAUAAGAAAGUCAACAGGAAAUAAACAUUAUUAUUUCAAAAAUACUAUCCUUAUCCAUUUUAAAUUAAGGGGCUAGGAGAAAAGGAUAUGAGGAUUUACUGUUGAAUGGGUUAGGAGUUUCAGUUUGGGAUGAAGAGAAAGUUCUGGAGAUGGAUGGCGGUGAUGGUGGCACAACAAUGCGAUGAACUUCAUGCCGCUCUCAAAAAUAGUGAAAAUGGUCAAGUUUAUGUUACGUCUAUUUUACUAUAAUAAAAAAAAAAUUUUGGUUUUCAGUGGGCAGGUGAAUAAGGAGACCCUCUUGCCACCUCUUGGCAAGAGCAAGAAAGGAGAUUGGAAUAUCAGCAGUGUGAGCUCUUCCAAGGGCAGUGGUGACAGCCUGGGAGACUGGUCAGCGUAGCAAGGGCAGGUGC